UCUGGUUGAUCCUAACCAGUAGUCAUAUGCUUGUUCUCAAAGAUUAAGCCAUGCAUGUCUGCCUCGUACGGUGAAACCGCGAAUGGCUCAUUAAAUCAGUCGAGUUCCUUACAUGAUCCAUUUCUACUUUGAUGACUGUGGCAAUUCUAGAGCUAAUACAUGCAAACCAGCUCAGACCCGGUGUCAAAGCCGGGAAAGAGCGCUUUUAUUAGUUCAAAAUCAGUCGGGGUCUCGGCCCCGUCCCUUUUGGUGACUCUGGAUAACUUUGUGCCGAUCGCAUGGCCUCGAGCCGGCGACGCAUCUUUCAAAUGUCUGCCUUAUCAACUGUCGAUGGUAUGUGAUAGACCUACCAUGUUGACAACGGGUAACGGGGAACCAGGGUGUGAUUUGAGAGGGAGCAUGAGAAACGACUACCACAUCCAAGGAAGGCAGCAGGCGCGCAACUUACCCACUCCCAGCUCGGGGAGGUAGUGACGAAAAAUAACAAUACGGAACUCUUUUGAGGCUUCGCAAUUGGAAUAAGUACACUUUAAACCCUAUAACGAGGAUCUAUUGGAGGGCAAGUCUGGUGCCAGCAGCCGUGGUAAUUCCAGCUCCAAUAGAGUAUAUUAAAGUCGUUGUGCUUAAAAAGCUCGUAGUUGCAUCUCAGGCAUGGACGUGCGGAGGCAUCCGUAUUGCGGUGUUAGAGAUGAAAUUCUUGGAUCAUCGCAAGACGAACAACUGCGAAAGCAUUUGCCAAGCAUCUUUUCAUUAGUCAAGAACGAAAGUCAGAGGUUCGAAGACGAUCAGAUACCGUCGUAGUUCUGACCAUAAACGAUGCCAACUAGCGUUGUGCAGGUGUUGCUUCAUCGACUAUAAAACCAAACUUUUCGGGUUCCAGGGGAAGUAUGGUUGCAAAGCUGAAACUUAAAGGAAUUGACGGAAGGUCACCACCAGGAGUGGAGCCUGCGGCUUAAUUUGAGUCAACACGGGAAAACUCACACGGUCCGGACACUGUAAGGAUUGACAGAUUGAUAUCUUUUUCUUGAUUCGGUGGGUGGUGGUGCAUGGCCGUUCUUAGGUGGUGGCGCGAUUUGUCUGAUUAAUUCCAAUAACGGGCGCGUUAAAUAUUUCACCUAUUCUUCACGCAUCGGUGCUAACUUCUUAGAGGGAGAAGUGGCGUUUAGCCACAAGAGAUUGAGCAAUAACAGGUCUGGCUGCCUUUAGAAGGAAUCAAGGUGGAUGUGACCAUGCUUUGAAAACAGUGCAAACCCCUUGAACGUCCUUCGUGAUAGGUACUGGGGGUUUGAAAUUCUUCUUAUGGACGAGGAAUUCUCAGUAAUCACGUCGCUGCCCUUUCUACACACCGCCUGUCACUACUACCGAGUGAACGGUUUAGUGAGGGGCAUAUGGCCUCCGCGUCGAGAGUCUGAAAAAGUCUCUCAAACCGGAGGGGAAGCUUUUGCCGAGUCAGGC
rnacentral:rRNA from 1 species